rnacentral:tRNA from 1 species
GUUGGGUUUACGACAUCCUCGGGUACGAGCGUCCGGCUCCGCCCCAGGCGUAGGUACACGGUCUUGAAAACCGUCGUGGCGCAAGUCACCGUGGGUUCAAAUCCCACACCCACCG